UGGGGAAUAUUGCGCAAUGGGGGCAACCCUGACGCAGCAACGCCGCGUGAAGGAAGAAGGUUUUCGGAUUGUAAACUGCUUUAGACAGGGAAGAAAAAGGACAGUACCUGUAGAAUAAGCUCCGGCUAACUACGUGCCAGCAGCCGCGGUAAUACGUAGGGAGCAAGCGUUAUCCGGAUUUAUUGGGUGUAAAGGGUGCGUAGACGGGAAGUCAAGUUAGUUGUGAAAUCCCUCGGCUCAACUGAGGAACUGCAACUAAACUAACUUUCUUGAGUGCUGGAGAGGAAAGUGGAAUUCCUAGUGUAGCGGUGAAAUGCGUAGAUAUUAGGAGGAACACCAGUGGCGAAGGCGACUUUCUGGACAGUAACUGACGUUGAGGCACGAAAGUGUGGGGAGCAAACAGGAUUAGAUACCC
rnacentral:rRNA from 1 species